rnacentral:rRNA from 1 species
UACGUAGGGAGCAAGCGUUGUCCGGAAUCAUUGGGCGUAAAGCGCGCGUAGGCGGUCUUUUAAGUCGGGGGUGAAAUCCUGGAGCUCAACUCCAGAACUGCCUUCGAUACUGAAAGACUUGAGUCCGGGAGAGGUGAGUGGAACUGCGAGUGUAGAGGUGAAAUUCGUAGAUAUUCGCAAGAACACCAGUGGCGAAGGCGGCUCACUGGCCCGGUACUGACGCUGAGGUGCGAAAGCGUGGGGAGCAAACAGG